rnacentral:rRNA from 1 species
AUCAUGGCUCAGAUUGAACGCUGGCGGCAGGCCUAACACAUGCAAGUCGAACGGUAACAGGAAGAAGCUUGCUCUUUGCUGACGAGUGGCGGACGGGUGAGUAAUGUCUGGGAAACUGCCUGAUGGAGGGGGAUAACUACUGGAAACGGUAGCUAAUACCGCAUAACGUCGCAAGACCAAAGAGGGGGACCUUCGGGCCUCUUGCCAUCGGAUGUGCCCAGAUGGGAUUAGCUUGUUGGUGGGGUAACGGCUCACCAAGGCGACGAUCCCUAGCUGGUCUGAGAGGAUGACCAGCCACACUGGAACUGAGACACGGUCCAGACUCCUACGGGAGGCAGCAGUGGGGAAUAUUGCACAAUGGGCGCAAGCCUGAUGCAGCCAUGCCGCCGUGUAUGAAGAAGGCCUUCGGGUUGUAAAGUACUUUCAGCGGGGAGGAAGGGAGUAAAGUUAAUACCUUUGCUCAUUGACGUUACCCGCAGAAGAAGCACCGGCUAACUCCGUGCCAGCCGCUGC